GAACCGUCCAAACGUUUAUUCGGAAUUACUGGGCUUAAAGGGUGCGUAGGCGGCGCGACAAGUCAGAUGUGAAAUCCCUCGGCUCAACCGAGGAAUUGCGUUUGAAACUGUCGUGCUUGAGGGAGACAGAGGUGAGCGGAACUGAUGGUGGAGCGGUGAAAUGCGUUGAGAUCAUCAGGAACACCGGUGGCGAAGGCGGCUCACUGGGUCUCUUCUGACGCUGAGGCACGAAAGCUAGGGGGAGCGAACGGGAUUAGAUACCCCGGUAGUCCUAGCUGUAAACGAUGAGCACUUGAUUGAAGACCCCUCCCAUAGGUUUUCGGUCGAAGCGAAAGUGUUAAGUGCUCCGCCUGGGGAGUAUGUCCGCAAGGAUG
rnacentral:rRNA from 1 species